rnacentral:rRNA from 1 species
UACGGAGGGUGCAAGCGUUUAUGACCGGGAUUCACUGGGUUUAAAGGGUGCGUAGGCGGGCAGGUAAGUCAGUGGUGAAAAUUCUCCGAGCUUAACUCGGAAACUGCCGUUGAUAUACUUGUCUUUGAAUGAUUGUGGAAGGUAAGUCGGAAUAUGUCAUGUAGCGGUGAAAUGACUUAGAUAUGACAUAGAACACCAAUUGCGAAGGCAGCUUACUACACAAUGAUUGACGUGAGGCACGAAAGCCGUGGGGAUCAAACAGG